rnacentral:rRNA from 1 species
UAGUCCACGCCGUAAACGAUGGUUACUAGCUGUUCGGACUUCGGUCUGAGUGGCUAAGCGAAAGUGAUAAGUAACCCACCUGGGGAGUACGUUCGCAAGAAUGAAACUCAAAGGAAUUGACGGGGGCCCGCACAAGCGGAGGAGCAUGUGGUUUAAUUCGAUGAUACGCGAGGAACCUUACCUGAACUUAAAUGGCGAACGACAGUCGUGGAAACAUGACUUUCUUUUAGACGUUCGUCAAGGUGCUGCAUGGUUGUCGUCAGCUCGUGCCGUGAGGUGUUGGGUUAAGUCCCGCAACGAGCGCAACCCCUAUCGUUAGUUGCCAUCAGUUAGGCUGGGGACUCUAACGAGACUGCCUGCGCAAGCAGUGAGGAAGGCGGGGAUGACGUCAAAUCAUCAUGGCCCUUACGUUCAGGGCUACACACGUGCUACAAUGGCAGGUACAGCGGGUAGCUACCACGCAAGUGGAUGCUAAUCUCGAAAGCCUGUCUCAGUUCGGAUCGG